GGGGUUUGAUUAUUAGAUAAAGAACCAAUAUUUUUGGUGACUCAUAAUAACUUUACGGAUCACAUUAUGUGACAUAUCAUUCAAGUUUCUGACCUAUCAGCUUUAGACGGUAGGGUAUUGGCCUACCGUGGCUAUGACGGGUAACGGGGAAUUAGGGUUCGAUUCCGGAGAGGGAGCCUGAGAAACGGCUACCACAUCUAAGGAAGGCAGCAGGCGCGCAAAUUACCCAAUCCUAAUACAGGGAGGUAGUGACAAGAAAUAACAAUACAGGACCUUACGGUUUUGUAAUUGGAAUGAGUUAAGUAUAAACCCCUUAACAAGUAUCAAUUGGAGGGCAAGUCUGGUGCCAGCAGCCGCGGUAAUUCCAGCUCCAAUAGCGUAUAUUAAAGUUGUUGCAGUUAAAAAGCUCGUAGUUAAUUUUCUGUUAAUUUUUAUAUACAAUACUACGGUAUUUAUAUAAUAUUAACAUAAUUCAUAUUACUUUUUAGUAUAUGAAACUUUACUUUGAGAAAAUUAGAGUGCUUAAAGCAGGCUAUUGCCUUGAAUACUCCAGCAUGGAAUAAUAUUAAGGAUUUUUAUUCUUCUUAUUGGUUCUAGAAUAAAAAUAAUGAUUAAUAGGGACAGUUGGGGGCAUUUGUAUUUAACAGUCAGAGGUGAAAUUCUUAGAUUUGUUAAAGACAAACUACUGCGAAAGCAUUUGCCAAGGAUGUUUUCAUUAAUCAAGAACGAAAGUUAGGGGAUCGAAGACGAUCAGAUACCGUCGUAGUCUUAACCAUAAACUAUGCCAACUAGAGAUUGGAGGUUGUCCCUUACUCUCUUA
rnacentral:rRNA from 1 species